rnacentral:rRNA from 1 species
CCUACGGGCGGCUGCAGUGGGGAAUAUUGGACAAUGGGCGAAAGCCUGAUCCAGCCAUGCCGCGUGUGUGAAGAAGGCCUUCGGGUUGUAAAGCACUUUCAGUGGGGAAGAAAGCCUUGGGGCUAAUACCCUCGAGGAAGGACAUCACCCACAGAAGAAGCACCGGCUAACUCCGUGCCAGCAGCCGCGGUAAUACGGAGGGUGCGGGCGUUAAUCGGAAUUACUGGGCGUAAAGCGCGCGUAGGCGGUCUGAUAAGCCGGUUGUGAAAGCCCCGGGCUCAACCUGGGAACGGCAUCCGGAACUGUCAGGCUAGAGUGCAGGAGAGGAAGGUAGAAUUCCCGGUGUAGCGGUGAAAUGCGUAGAGAUCGGGAGGAAUACCAGUGGCGAAGGCGGCCUUCUGGACUGACACUGACGCUGAGGUGCGAAAGCGUGGGUAGCAAACAGGAUUAGAUACCCUAGUAGUC